rnacentral:lncRNA from 1 species
CCUAUCCGUUGUCAUUCCUAAUUGAAUAGAAGUUUGGGACCAUUACAAUCUCUUCCUCCACCUCUUCAUUCCUCCUUUCCUGGUGCCACGUCUGCUCUGUCGCCACCGAAGAGGACCACCAUGACCAUCAUCAGAUCUCAUCAAUUGAAGGGGAAAUCCUCCGUGAAGCCGAGGAAUGGAAAAGCCGUCCUUGUAACAACCCACAAAUCCAAAGCAGAAACAUGGGAGGAGGAACAAGAGGAAAGAAAGCAUGUCAUGGAAUCCAUUUACUCGAUCUCGCCCCCCAGCUGCAUCCCGUGCCAUGGAAGGUGGUAGCAUAGACAUCGGCGCCACCGAUGGUCUCCGCCGCCUGCUCCGCCUUUAGGAUGCGUGAUGUUUGAGCUGCCGGUUGGAAGAAGAUGAAAUCGUUGGUGCUAAACCGGACAAAUCAAAAUCAUAUGUGGGUUAGCUUUCCUAUUUAUCAGUGUUUCUAAAUUUUAUGGACGCACAAUAUUUAACUAAAAUUUUCUUAAAGUAAUUAGUAAAUAUUUGGAUCUAAAAAUAUAUAGGGACAUGCUUGAAUAAGAUUGACCAAAUUUGAGC